UACGUAGGGGACGAGCGUUGUCCGGAAUUACUGGGCGUAAAGGGCGCGCAGGCUGUAGAUCAAGUCAACUGUGAAAUGUCUGGGCUUAACCCGGGCAUGCGAUUGAAACUGAUGUACUGGAGUGCUGUAGAGGCAAGUGGAAUUCCCAGUGUAGCGGUGAAAUGCGUAGAUAUUGGGAAGAACACCGGUGGCGAAGGCGACUUGCUGGGCAGCAACUGACGCUGAGGCGCGAAAGCCAGGGGAGCAAACGGGAUUAGA
rnacentral:rRNA from 1 species